AUUGAACGCUGGCGGCAGGCCUAACACAUGCAAGUCGAGCGGAGCGGCGGACGGGUGAGUAAUGCCUAGGAAUCUGCCUGGUAGUGGGGGAUAACGUCCGGAAACGGGCGCUAAUACCGCAUACUAUCAGAUGAGCCUAGGUCGGAUUAGCUAGUUGGUGGGGUAAAGGCCUACCAAGGCGACGAUCCGUAACUGGUCUGAGAGGAUGAUCAGUCACCAUGGAAAUGAGACAAGGUUCAGACGCCUUAGGGGGGGAAGAGUUGGGAAUAUUGGACAAUGGGCGAAAGGCCGGUUCCACCAAGCCGGGUGGGUGGAGAAGGGCUUCGGAUUGUAAAGGACUUUAAGUUGGGAGGCGUUACCAACAGAAUAAGCACCGGCUAACUUCGUGCCAGCAGCCGCGGUAAUAC
rnacentral:rRNA from 1 species